rnacentral:rRNA from 1 species
GUCUACAGCCAUGCUACCUUGAACAAGCCCGAUCCCGUCUGAUCUCGGAAGCUAAGCAGGGUCAGGCCUGGUUAGUACUUGGAUGGGAGACCACCUAGGAAAACCAGGUGCUGAAACCA